rnacentral:other from 2 species
AAAAUCCUGCGAUGUGCGUCUCGGUUUUAACGUUGUUUUGAACCAAUGACUGUUUCUCGGGAGACCUACAUUGAAUCGCGGCUGACAUGCCCUCGAAAAGGGAUCUCAAAAUCGAUUCUGCGGACACCCACCUGCUUUGAGCAGGUUCGAGACACGGAACCGGACGGCAUAUGCGGGUUUUUU